rnacentral:misc_RNA from 1 species
AACGCACAUUGCGCCCUUUGGUAUUCCUUAGGGCAUGCCUGUUCGAGCGUCAUUUAAACCUUCAAGCCUAGCUUGGUGUUGGGUACCUGCCUAGUCUCUAGGCUUACCUCAAAGAUAUUGGCAGCUUGUACACCCGCUUUCGGCGCAGCACAAUUGCGCCUUGGUCGGUGAGCAAGGUCCCAGAAGCAACCUUUUAUCUUGACCUCGGAUCAGGUAGGGAUACCCGCUGAACUUAA